GACGAACGCUGGCGGCGUGCUUAACACAUGCAAGUCGAACGGUGAUGCUCCAGCUUGCUGGAGUGGAUCAGUGGCGAACGGGUGAGUAACACGUGAGCAACCUGCCCCAGACUCUGGAAUAAGCGCUGGAAACGGCGUCUAAUACUGGAUACGAAACUGGCCCGCAUGGGCAUGGUUUGGAAAGUUUUUCGGUUUGGGAUGGGCUCGCGGCCUAUCAGCUUGUUGGUGAGGUAAUGGCUCACCAAGGCGACGACGGGUAGCCGGCCUGAGAGGGCGACCGGCCACACUGGGACUGAGACACGGCCCAGACUCCUACGGGAGGCAGCAGUGGGGAAUAUUGCACAAUGGGCGAAAGCCUGAUGCAGCGACGCCGCGUGAGGGAUGACGGCCUUCGGGUUGUAAACCUCUUUCAGCAGGGAAGAAGCGAAAGCGACGGUACCUGCAGAAGAAGCACCGGCUAACUACGUG
rnacentral:rRNA from 1 species